rnacentral:lncRNA from 1 species
CCUGCCUGCCUGCCUUUAUCAAAGACCUGGUAGCUUUGCCUCCUACCUGCGUGGGGCUUCUGGAAUUUUCUACCUGGGUGUCCCUUGGACCUGUAGCCCCGCAAGUGGCACGCUGCAUCCAUCCUAUGCCUGUGACAGCAGCUGCACAGAGCAGGUGCCUCAAAGGUGUACUCUGGAGGCUUCUCAGUCCUAGGAGGUGGGACCUGGCGCACAAAGGGCCCUCCAGUCUCAGGAGCAGGUGUUCUCAGGCUCCAGCCAAGUGGGCCUGCCGUGCAGCCAGUCUCCAGCAUCCCCGCCGACACCUCCAGGAGCAGCAGGAGCCCCACCGCCUCCUGAGCAGGGCGACCCUGGUCUGUGUCUGCCUUGGCCUGCAGGAUGCUGCCUGUGUCCCCGGAGGUGAAGACCAGCCCGCUGCAGAAGGCGAACUUCUGCUCGCGCCUGUUUGUCUGGUGGCUAAACCCUUUAUUUAAAAUCGGUCACAAACGGAAAUUAGAACCAGAUGACAUGUAUUCAGUGCUUCCAGAAGAUCGCUCCCAGCGCCUUGGAGAAGAGCUGCAAGGGCGCUGGGAUCAGGAAGCGAAGAGAGCCCAGAAGGACGCACGGGAGCCUUCCUUAACGAAAGCGAUCGUAAAGUGUUACUGGAAACCCUAUGUAGUUUGGGGAAUGUUUGCAUUUCUUGAGGAAGGCACCAGAGUAGUUCAACCCAUAUUUUGGGGGAAAAUUAUUAGUUAUGUUGAAAACUAUGAUCCUAAUGAUUCUGCCGCUUUGCACCAAGCCUACGGCUACGCGGCAGGGCUGAGCGCCUGCGUGCUCCUGUGGGCCGUUCUGCACCACUUGUACUUCUACCACAUGCAGCGCGUGGGGAUGAAGCUGAGAGUAGCCGUGUGCCACAUGAUCUACCGCAAGGCCCUUCGCCUGAGUAGCUCGGCCAUGGGGAAGACCACCACAGGCCAGGUAGUCAACCUGCUGUCCAACGAUGUGAACAGGUUUGACCAGGUGACGAUGUUCUUGCACUAUCUGUGGGUGGGGCCACUGCAGGCUGUCGCAGUGACCGCCCUGCUCUGGAUGGAAAUAGGAAUAUCAUGUCUUGCCGGGAUGGCAGUUCUCAUUAUUCUUCUGCUUUUGCAAAGCUGCUUCGUGAAGUUGUUUUCAUCACUCUGGAGUAAGACCGCUGCUCUCACAGACAAGAGGAUCAGGACCAUGAGCGAAGUCAUAACUGGCAUCAGAACAAUAAAAAUGAAUGCUUGGGAAAAGUCAUUUAUAGACCGUAUUACCAGACUGAGAAGUAAGGAAAUUUCCAAGAUUCUGAAAAGUUCCUACCUUAGAGGCAUGAAUUUGGCAUCAUUUUUCACUGUGAGCAAAAUCAUGAUUUUUGUCACCUUCAUCACCAAUGAGCUCCUUGACAACCUGGUCACAGCCAGCCAAGUGUUUGUGGUGGUGACGCUGUUCGAGGCUCUGCGGUUUUCGAGUACCCUCUAUUUCCCCAUGGCCAUCGAGAAGGUGUCAGAGGCCGUCGUCAGCAUCCAAAGAAUCAAGAACUUUCUGUUACUUGAUGAGAUAACACAGUGUUACCCUCUGCUGCCAUCAGAUAGUAAAACGAUCGUGGAUGUGCAAGCUUUUACAGCUUCUUGGGAAAAGGCAUCAGAGACCCCAUCCCUACAAGGCAUUUCCUUUACUGUCAGACCUGGUGAACUGUUAGUUGUGGUUGGACCUGUGGGAGCAGGAAAGUCAUCACUGUUAAGCGCUCUGCUGGGGGAGCUGCCCCCGAGCCAGGGGAAGGUCAGCGUGCACGGGAGGAUCGCCUAUGUUUCUCAGCAGCCCUGGGUGUUUCCAGGGACUGUAAAGAGUAACAUUUUAUUUGGGAAGAAAUAUGAAGAAGACAGAUAUGAAGAAGUAAUAAGGGCUUGUGCUUUGGAAGAGGAUUUACAGCUUUUGGAGGAAGGAGAUCUAACUGAGAUAGGAGACAGAGGAACCCCGCUGAGUGAAGGACAGAAAGCCCGGGUCAGCCUCGCCAGAGCCGUGUAUCAGGACGCAGACAUCUACCUCCUGGACGAUCCGCUCAGCGCAGUGGAUGCAGGAGUCAGCAGACACUUGUUCGAAGAGUGUGUUCGUCAGGCCUUGAAGGAGAAGAUCACAAUCUUAGUCACUCAUCAGCUGCAGCACCUAAAAGAUGCAAGUCAGAUUCUGAUACUGAAAGAUACUGAGAAUAUACAGUUAACACUACCUCUAGAGGACUACUUGGAAGGAAAAGUUGGUUUUAAGACCUAUAAGAAUUACUUCACAGCUGGUGCUGACUGGCUUGUCAUCAUCUUCCUUAUUCUAGUAAACAUCGCUGCUCAGGUUGCCUACGUCCUGCAGGAUUGGUGGCUUGCAUUCUGGGCGAAUCUACAAAGUGACCUGUAUUCUGGGGCAUUAGUAAAAGAAGAUGAAGCUGUAGCGUUAGUUCUGAACUGGUACUUAGGAGUUUAUUCAGGGUUAACUGUGUCUACUAUCCUUUUUGGCAUCACACGGUCUCUGUUGAUAUUCUACAUCCUUGUUAAUUCUUCACGAACUUUGCACAACAAAAUGUUGGAGACCAUUUUAAGAGCUCCAGUAUUGUUCUUCCAUAGAAAUCCAAUAGGAAGAAUUUUAAAUCGUUUCUCCAAAGACAUUGGGCAUAUGGAUGACUUGCUGCCUCUGAUAUUUCAAGAUUUCAUGCAGGCAUUUCUACUUGUGGUUGGUGUGGUGGGCGUGAUGGUGGCUGCAGUUCCUUGGACUGCUAUACCUGUGAUUCCCCUUGGCAUCAUUUUCUUUUUUCUUCGGCGAUAUUUCUUAGAGACGUCACGAGAUGUGAAACGCCUGGAAUGUACAACUCGGAGCCCGGUAUUUUCUCACUUAGCAUCUUCUCUCCGGGGACUCUGGACCAUCAGGGCAUACAAAGCUGAACAGAAGUUUCAGGAGCUGUUUGAUGCACACCAGGAUUUGCACUCAGAGGCAUGGUUCCUGCUUGUGAUGACAUCCCGAUGGCUCACUGUGUAUCUGGAUGUCGUCUGUGCCAUCUUUGUCACCCUUAUUGCCUUUGGAUCCCUGAUUCUGGCAAAAACUUUGGAUCUCGGGCAGGUUGGCCUGGUCCUGUCUCUCACGUUCACACUCACGGGGAUUUUCCAGUGGUGCAUCAGGCAAAGUGCCGAAGUUGAGAACAUGAUGAUUUCAGUGGAAAGGGGGAUUGAAUAUACAGACCUUGAGAAAGAAGCACCCUGGGAACUUGAGAAUCGCCCACCACCAAUCUGGCCUCCAAACGGAAGGAUUUCCUUUUCCAGUGUGAACUUGAGAUAUAACUUGGACAGUCCUCUGGUAUUGAGGAACCUGGAAGCAUUCAUUUACCCAGGAGGAAAGUAUGGCAUCGUGGGAAGAACAGGAGCUGGAAAAAGUUCCCUCAUUGCUGCCCUUUUUAGAUUGUCAGAACCUGAAGGUGGCAUUUACAUUGAUGACAUCUUGACAACCAGUAUUGGACUUCACGAUUUAAGGAAGAAAAUGUCGGUUGCACUUCAGGAACCUGUUUUAUUCACUGGAACAAUGAGGGAAAAUCUGGAUCCCUGUCAUGAGCAUACGGAUAACGAACUGUGGAAUGCCUUAGAAGAGGUACAACUUAAAGAAUCCAUUGAAAGUCUUCCUGCUAAAAUGAAUACUGAAUUAGCAGAAUCUGGAUUGAACUUGAGUGCUGGUCAGAAACAACUGGUGUGCCUUGCCAGGGCUCUUCUCAGGAAGAAUCAAGUAUUGAUUCUUGACAAAGCCACAUCAUACGUGAAUCCAAGAACUGAUGAGUUAAUACAAAAAAAAAUUCGUGAGAGAUUUGCCCAGUGCACUGUGGUGAUCAUUGCACACAGGUUGAGCACCAUUAUUGACUCUGAUUGGAUAAUGGUUUUGGAUUCAGGGACACGGAAAGAAUAUAAUCGGCCAUAUAAGUUGCUGCGAGAUAGAAACAGCCUGUUUUACAAGCUGGUGCAUCAACUGGGUGAGGCGGAGGCUGCUGAUCUCACUGAAAGGGAAAAAUAG